AUCGAUCACGUAUAUUAUAUACAGCCAAUUUGGUAAAGGCAAUUUUGCAAACUACCUGUUGAUUCAUUAAACAAUUAGAUAUUGGAAGCCGGAAACGCUUUCUUCUAUACAUUUACUUCAUUUAUGUAUACAUUAUUUCUUACAUUUAAUGUGACCACAAGUAACAUGCUGCAUACAUUUAAUCCAAUACUAAAGACGCUUU